rnacentral:rRNA from 1 species
AACGCUAGCGGGAGGCUACCACAUGUCUAAGCCGAGCGGUAGAGAUUCUUCGGAAUCUUGAGAGCGGCGCACGGGUGCGGAACACGUGUGCAACCUGCCUUUAUCUGGGGGAUAGCCUUUCGAAAGGGAGAUUAAUACCCCAUAAUAUACUGAGUGGCAUCACUUAUUAUUGAAAACUCCGGUGGAUAGAGAUGGGCACGCGCAAGAUUAGAUAGUUGGUGAGGUAACGGCUCACCAAGUCAAUGAUCUUUAGGGGGCCUGAGAGGGUGAUCCCCCACACUGGUACUGAGACACGGACCAGACUCCUACGGGAGGCAGCAGUGAGGAAUAUUGGACAAUGGGUGAGAGCCUGAUCCAGCCAUCCCGCGUGAAGGACGACGGCCCUAUGGGUUGUAAACUUCUUUUGUACAGGGAUAAACCUUUCCACGUGUGGAAAGCUGAAGGUACUGUACGAAUAAGCACCGGCUAACUACCGUGCCAGCAGCCGCGGUAAUACGGAGGGUGCAAGCGUUAUCCGGAUUUAUUGGGUUUAAAGGGUCCGUAGAGCGGAUCUGUAAGUCAGUGGUGAAAUCUCAUAGCUUAACUAUGAAACUGCCAUUGAUACUGCAGGUCUUGAGUAAGGUAGAAGUAGCUGGAAUAAAGUAGUGUAGCGGUG